rnacentral:tRNA from 2 species
GCGGGGGUGGCCGAGCCAGGUCAAAGGCGCAGGGCUUAGGACCCUGUCCCGUAGGGGUUCGUGGGUUCGAAUCCCACCCCCCGCA